rnacentral:rRNA from 2 species
CAUUCUCAGCAAAAGAUAUCUUGGCUCUUGCAACUAUGAAGAAUGCAAUGAAAGCGUAGUGUGAAUUGCAGAGUUCUGUGAAUCACCAAGUUUCUAAUAUAUCAAUCAACUACAAACCUAUAUAAAGUCA